CAUGUGUUUUGCCUUUUGUUUACUUUGUUUUCCAGAGAUAAUAUAGAGAGCAGAUAAUAUUCUGUAUUCAAAUACAUAUAUGUACCAGCCAUGGAUAUGCAUAUUAUUCAGAGUAUAUGCAUAAAAAAAGUCAUCUUCCAAGAUAAUGAAAGCUAGCUUAAGGGUUAGCAUGCAGAGCUACUUUAGACCAAGUUUAUGAAAGUCAAUGAUCUAUCAUCUACCCACUUGCUUCAGAUAUCUAUAAUGAUCCCCCCCUUUGCCCUUCUUAUCAACAAGAGAAGACAGCCUCUCACUUCCAUGUUCCUUUAAAAAGUUAGAAAAAAAAAAAAAAAAGUAAAAACCCCAAACCAAAGCACUCCACAACUUUCUCUGAGUUGACAGACUUAAAGCGUUCCAACUUCCAACACCAAAGGAUCGAGUUUGUUUUCUCUAUCUAUGAUGGAUGCUUUUCUUUUUCCCGAUCACAGAGUAUAAUAGGUUGGUGAUGAUUUUCUGCUUGAGAAGAUGGUUUUAAUUAUUUGUGUUGACAGAAGAUAGAGAGCACAACUGAACAAACCCAACAAAGGCUUUGUGUUUGAGCUGUUUGUGCUCUCUCUUCUUCUGUCACCAUAAUUUUCUGCUGUUUCGAACAUUAUCAUCCUCCUUGCCUCGGGGUUUUCUGUUAUAUCUCCAUGUUCUGUUAAGGUAAGAUACAUGAAUACUUGGUUCUUGCUAUAAGGUUAAUUAUCCUCAACUGAACUUUGUUCCGGGGUUUGAAAUUUGUGUCUCUGAUCUUGGGAGCCUAACUUUUAUUUUGUUGCAGUUGUUUGUGCCAAAGUAAUUUCUCUAGAAUUAGCUUCUAAAUUAAGAUAGACACAAUGUGAGAUCCCAUAAUAUCUCGACAUUAAAUACUAUGGAAUCUACAUGUUGUAACUAUCUAUAUUCUAUUUCUAAAUUCAGAAGAUAUAAUUGAAGGAGAUUCUAAU